ACUCCUACGGGAGGCAGCAGUGGGGAAUAUUGCACAAUGGGGCACCAGCUGACAGCCAUGCCGCGUGUGUGAAGAAGGCCUUCGGGUUGUAAAGCACUUUCAGUCGUGAGGAAGGUAGUGUAGUUAAUAGCUGCAUUAUUUGACGUUAGCGACAGAAGAAGCACCGGCUAACUCCGUGCCAGCAGCCGCGGUAAUACGGAGGGUGCGAGCGUUAAUCGGAAUUACUGGGCGUAAAGCGCAUGCAGGUGGUUUGUUAAGUCAGAUGUGAAAGCCCGGGGCUCAACCUCGGAAUUGCAUUUGAAACUGGCAGGCUAGAGUACUGUAGAGGGGGGUAGAAUUUCAGGUGUAGCGGUGAAAUGCGUAGAGAUCUGAAGGAAUACCGGUGGCGAAGGCGGCCCCCUGGACAGAUACUGACACUCAGAUGCGAAAGCGUGGGAGCAAACAGGAUUAGAUACCCUGGUAGACAU
rnacentral:rRNA from 1 species